UGUCAAUCGCGCACAAUACUGGAUCUUCAAUGAGUUACUUUCUAUUUUUCACUCGGCAACCGGCUGCAGAUUUCACUCGGCCAACUUCGGUUACUCCUCUACACCAAACCAUGUUUCCAAACAGAAUUAUCUUUCCGUGACCCGCAAAUUAUAUUUUUAACUGGUUUGCUUUUGGCGCAAUAUUCUGAUGUUUAGGCUAACACUGUUUUUAACGGCGUCAGCUUCUUAUAUUUAUUGGGCUACAAACACUAAACAGUUGUCUUUUAUUUUCUGAGGAGAUUUUCUGACCUGGAAGAAAAGUAUAGAAAAUAUUUCCAAUUAUCUAUCUUGAGAUCACAGAGAUUGAAUGCUGCAGGUCUUGUGUUUAGUGUAUAGACUAAUUGGUGGAUGUUAUUAACAUUAACCUUUUAGCAAAGGUUAGCUUGAUGAUGUUACUGACUUUGCAGUGUAGUGGAAGAUAUUAACCUAACUUUGGUAGACAACAAGCCUAACCCUGAAGUCAACGAUGUACAAUAUGUCAGUGUCACUGUUCCACUACCAAACGUAACGCGAAUAUAAACAAUACUUACGGGUACAUGUAUUUACUUUGAUUGAAAUGAGGUCAACUUUAAAAUUUGUGUAGAUGUGUUAUUUGUUGUAACAGUU